GGGCCCGUAGCCUAGUUGGAUAGGGCGCAGGCCUUCGGAGCCUGAUGUCGGGGGUUCAAAUCCCUCCGGGCCCGCCA
rnacentral:tRNA from 1 species